UACGAGGGGUGCGAGCGUUGCUCGGAAUUACUGGGCGUAAAGCGCACGUAGGCGGCUUUGUAAGUUAGAGGUGAAAGCCCGGGGCUCAACUCCGGAAUUGCCUUUAAGACUGCAUCGCUAGAAUUGUGGAGAGGUAAGUGGAAUUCCGAGUGUAGAGGUGAAAUUCGUAGAUAUUCGGAAGAACACCAGUGGCGAAGGCGACUUACUGGACACAUAUUGACGCUGAGGUGCGAAAGCGUGGGGAGCAAACAGG
rnacentral:rRNA from 1 species